AAAACGUGGUUUAGAAUUUUAUUACUUUCUGUCUUUGUUUUGUGGAUCCUAGUUUUACCUUUUUUUUAUCCAAGAAGACAAGUCACACUCGGGAAGAUUUGUGGUGGACUUAAAGUUGUAUUUGGCUUAGCUUAAGUGUCAUGUCUAGGUGGUGCACACGCAACUAAAGAAGAUAUUGGACUAACAAAUUUUAAGGAACCAAGUGAUAUUGAACAGAUUCGGCGUGCGAAGAGGUUGAUUCGAAAGGCAAA